ACGGAGGGAGCUAGCGUUAUUCGGAAUUACUGGGCGUAAAGCGUACGUAGGCGGCUUUGCAAGUUAGAGGUGAAAGCCUGGAGCUCAACUCCAGAACUGCCUUUAAAACUGCAUCGCUUGAAUCCAGGAGAGGUGAGUGGAAUUCCGAGUGUAGAGGUGAAAUUCGUAGAUAUUCGGAAGAACACCAGUGGCGAAGGCGGCUCACUGGACUGGUAUUGACGCUGAGGUACGAAAGCGUGGGGAGCAAACAGGAUUAGAUACCCUGGUAGUCCACGCCGUAAACGAUGAUAACUAGCUGUCAGGGCACUUGGUGCUUUGGUGGCGCAGCUAACGCAUUAAGUUAUCCGCCUGGGGAGUACGGCCGCAAGGUUA
rnacentral:rRNA from 1 species